GACAGAGGGUGCGAACGUUGUUCGGAAUUACUGGGCGUAAAGCGCAUGUAGGCGGCAACGCAAGUCGGGCGUGAAAUCCCACGGCUCAACCGUGGAAGUGCACUCGAAACUGCGUAGCUAGAGUCCUGGAGAGGAAGGUGGAAUGCUUGGUGUAGAGGUGAAAUUCGUAGAUAUCAAGCGGAACACCGGUGGCGAAGGCGGCCUUCUGGACAGUGACUGACGCUGAGA
rnacentral:rRNA from 1 species